AAUGAGGGAGAGCUAAACGGACCAUCGAGUAUCCAUUGGAGGGCAAGUCUGGUGCCAGCAGCUGCGGUAAUACCAGCUCCAAUAGCGUAUAUUAAAGUUGUUGCAUUAAAAAGCUCGUAGUUGGACUUGUGUGCGCUGUCCGCGGGUGGCCUGCGCCCAAAAGGGCGUUUCGGUUCGGCCCCGGUGGCGCCUUGAAAUCUGCAGCUGGGGGGACGUUGGCCUUAACUGGUCGGCGACCGCACGCCGGCUGCUCGGUUACUGUGAGAAAAUUAGAGUGUUCAAGGCAGGCAUUGGGUGCAAUUGAAUACAUUAGCAUGGAAUAAUAAAAUAUGGCUCCUGCCGUAUUUUGUUGGUUUUGACUGGUGGGAGUAAUGAUUGAUAGGGACGGUUGGGGGUGCUAGUAUUGAGCGGCCAGAGGUGAAAUUCAUGGAUUCGCUCAAGACUAACUUAUGCGAAAGCAUUCACCAAGGACGUCCUCUUUAAUCAAGAACGAAAGUUGGGGGAUCGAAGACGUUCAGAUACCGUCGUAGUCUCAACCAUAAACUAUGUCGACUUGGGAUCGGCGGUAGUUUUUUCAUUAAGACACUGUCGGGACCACGGGAGAAAUCAAAGUGUCUGGACUCUGGGGGAAGUAUGGUCGCAAGGCUGAAACUUGAAGGAAUUGACGGAAGGGCACCACCAGGAGUGGAGCCUGCGGCUUAAUUUGACCCAACACGGGGAAACUUACCAGGUCCAGAGAUGUAGAGGAUUGACAGAUUGAAGCUCUUUCUUGAUCACUUCGGUGGUGGUGCAUGGCCGUUCUUAGUUGGUGGAGUGAUUUGUCUGGUUAAUUCCGUUAACGAACGAGACCUCAGCCUGCUAGUGUAGUCGGCUGGAUUGCCUUUGGCGAUCCGUGAUUUCGACUUCUUAGAGGGGCAAUCGACGCGCAGUCGAUGGAAGUUUGAGGCAAUAACAGGUCUGUGAUGCCCUUAGAUGUUCUGGGCCGCACGCGCGCUACACUGCUGGGCUCAGCGAGUUUUACUUGGCCGAGAGGCCCGGUUAAUCUUGUGAAAUCCCAGCGUGCUUGGGCUCGCCUCCUGCAACUGGAGGCGCCAACGAGGAAUUCCUAGUAGACGCAGGUCAUCAACCUGCAUCGAUUACGUCUCUGCCCUUUGUACACACCGCCCGUCGUUCCAUAAGAGUGAGGCGUCCGGUGAAUUCUCGGGAGAGCCUGGGCGUGGCCAGCAAUGGUCUGCUCGGGUUUGAACUUGCAUAAACUUGGUGCCUAUGAUUAGGG
rnacentral:rRNA from 1 species